GGGUUGUGAGGUUAAGCGACUAAGCGUACACGGUGGAUGCCCUGGCAGUCAGAGGCGAUGAAGGACGUGCUAAUCUGCGAUAAGCGUCGGUAAGGUGAUAUGAACCGUUAUAACCGGCGAUUUCCGAAUGGGGAAACCCAGUGUGUUUCGACACACUAUCAUUAACUGAAUCCAUAGGUUAAUGAGGCGAACCGGGGGAACUGAAACAUCUAAGUACCCCGAGGAAAAGAAAUCAACCGAGAUUCCCCCAGUAGCGGCGAGCGAACGGGGAGCAGCCCAGAGCCUGAAUCAGUGUGUGUGUUAGUGGAAGCGUCUGGAAAGGCGCGCGAUACAGGGUGACAGCCCCGUACACAAAAAUGCACAUACUGUGAGCUCGAUGAGUAGGGCGGGACACGUGGUAUCCUGUCUGAAUAUGGGGGGACCAUCCUCCAAGGCUAAAUACUCCUGACUGACCGAUAGUGAACCAGUACCGUGAGGGAAAGGCGAAAAGAACCCCGGCGAGGGGAGUGAAAAAGAACCUGAAACCGUGUACGUACAAGCAGUGGGAGCACGCUUCGGCGUGUGACUGCGUACCUUUUGUAUAAUGGGUCAGCGACUUAUAUUCUGUAGCAAGGUUAACCGAAUAGGGGAGCCGAAGGGAAACCGAGUCUUAACUGGGCGUUAAGUUGCAGGGUAUAGACCCGAAACCCGGUGAUCUAGCCAUGGGCAGGUUGAAGGUUGGGUAACACUAACUGGAGGACCGAACCGACUAAUGUUGAAAAAUUAGCGGAUGACUUGUGGCUGGGGGUGAAAGGCCAAUCAAACCGGGAGAUAGCUGGUUCUCCCCGAAAGCUAUUUAGGUAGCGCCUCGUGAAUUCAUCUCCGGGGGUAGAGCACUGUUUCGGCAAGGGGGUCAUCCCGACUUACCAACCCGAUGCAAACUGCGAAUACCGGAGAAUGUUAUCACGGGAGACACACGGCGGGUGCUAACGUCCGUCGUGAAGAGGGAAACAACCCAGACCGCCAGCUAAGGUCCCAAAGUCAUGGUUAAGUGGGAAACGAUGUGGGAAGGCCCAGACAGCCAGGAUGUUGGCUUAGAAGCAGCCAUCAUUUAAAGAAAGCGUAAUAGCUCACUGGUCGAGUCGGCCUGCGCGGAAGAUGUAACGGGGCUAAACCAUGCACCGAAGCUGCGGCAGCGACACUAUGUGUUGUUGGGUAGGGGAGCGUUCUGUAAGCCUGUGAAGGUGUGCUGUGAGGCAUGCUGGAGGUAUCAGAAGUGCGAAUGCUGACAUAAGUAACGAUAAAGCGGGUGAAAAGCCCGCUCGCCGGAAGACCAAGGGUUCCUGUCCAACGUUAAUCGGGGCAGGGUGAGUCGACCCCUAAGGCGAGGCCGAAAGGCGUAGUCGAUGGGAAACAGGUUAAUAUUCCUGUACUUGGUGUUACUGCGAAGGGGGGACGGAGAAGGCUAUGUUGGCCGGGCGACGGUUGUCCCGGUUUAAGCGUGUAGGCUGGUUUUCCAGGCAAAUCCGGAAAAUCAAGGCUGAGGCGUGAUGACGAGGCACUACGGUGCUGAAGCAACAAAUGCCCUGCUUCCAGGAAAAGCCUCUAAGCAUCAGGUAACAUUAAAUCGUACCCCAAACCGACACAGGUGGUCAGGUAGAGAAUACCAAGGCGCUUGAGAGAACUCGGGUGAAGGAACUAGGCAAAAUGGUGCCGUAACUUCGGGAGAAGGCACGCUGAUAUGUAGGUGAAGUCCCUCGCGGAUGGAGCUGAAAUCAGUCGAAGAUACCAGCUGGCUGCAACUGUUUAUUAAAAACACAGCACUGUGCAAACACGAAAGUGGACGUAUACGGUGUGACGCCUGCCCGGUGCCGGAAGGUUAAUUGAUGGGGUUAGCGGUAACGCGAAGCUCUUGAUCGAAGCCCCGGUAAACGGCGGCCGUAACUAUAACGGUCCUAAGGUAGCGAAAUUCCUUGUCGGGUAAGUUCCGACCUGCACGAAUGGCGUAAUGAUGGCCAGGCUGUCUCCACCCGAGACUCAGUGAAAUUGAACUCGCUGUGAAGAUGCAGUGUACCCGCGGCAAGACGGAAAGACCCCGUGAACCUUUACUAUAGCUUGACACUGAACAUUGAGCCUUGAUGUGUAGGAUAGGUGGGAGGCUUUGAAGUGUGGACGCCAGUCUGCAUGGAGCCGACCUUGAAAUACCACCCUUUAAUGUUUGAUGUUCUAACGUUGACCCGUAAUCCGGGUUGCGGACAGUGUCUGGUGGGUAGUUUGACUGGGGCGGUCUCCUCCUAAAGAGUAACGGAGGAGCACGAAGGUUGGCUAAUCCUGGUCGGACAUCAGGAGGUUAGUGCAAUGGCAUAAGCCAGCUUGACUGCGAGCGUGACGGCGCGAGCAGGUGCGAAAGCAGGUCAUAGUGAUCCGGUGGUUCUGAAUGGAAGGGCCAUCGCUCAACGGAUAAAAGGUACUCCGGGGAUAACAGGCUGAUACCGCCCAAGAGUUCAUAUCGACGGCGGUGUUUGGCACCUCGAUGUCGGCUCAUCACAUCCUGGGGCUGAAGUAGGUCCCAAGGGUAUGGCUGUUCGCCAUUUAAAGUGGUACGCGAGCUGGGUUUAGAACGUCGUGAGACAGUUCGGUCCCUAUCUGCCGUGGGCGCUGGAGAACUGAGGGGGGCUGCUCCUAGUACGAGAGGACCGGAGUGGACGCAUCACUGGUGUUCGGGUUGUCAUGCCAAUGGCACUGCCCGGUAGCUAAAUGCGGAAGAGAUAAGUGCUGAAAGCAUCUAAGCACGAAACUUGCCCCGAGAUGAGUUCUCCCUGACUCCUUGAGAGUCCUGAAGGAACGUUGAAGACGACGACGUUGAUAGGCCAGGUGUGUAAGCGCAGCGAUGCGUUGAGCUAACCGGUACUAAUGAACCGUGAGGCUUAACCUUACAACGCCGAAGCUGUU
rnacentral:rRNA from 2 species